ensembl:lncRNA
GGAUUGAUCCUUCCUCCCCGGCUUCGGAGAGCGAGUGGACCCCAUCUUCGUAAGCUUUCUCCCCCGCGUCUGCAUCUGGAGCAGCUGCGCGAACGUUGGUGCAGUCCCGCCCGGGCACCCGGCUCCGGCGUCUCUCCCGGGCUGAGGUCUCUGCGGACCGGUGUGCGGGCCACUGGGCGGCGGGCCGCCCGCUGCCGUCCCGUCGCUCGGGCAGAGUCAGCCAGGCCCAGCCUCGGAGCAACCCGGCCCGCGUGCUUCGAGGCCAGCCAAAGGAACCGGAUGCAUUUUCUGAAGCCAGGACUCCAGUGGUGUGAUGUCUUCACCACCUAAUCACCGGUAGGGAUAUUGAAGAAGUCUGAGGUUGCUAUUAAGUUUCUCAGGACAGAAUCAUCUUUGCGGAUGCAACUGCAG